UUCUCCGUCUCUCCUAAUACUCCUAUAUAUGUUUUCCCUCUCUUUGUUCCACCUCACUUGCUGGCAUCCAAGGAGGACCACCGCGUGUGGCCACCUCUAUGACACCAGCCCCGGGCGUAGCCAUUCCACCUCACCCGGAUUGUAGCGAAUGUGGAGCCAAGGAGAAUGACGUGGAUCUCGCGUUGAGCUUUCUCGUCAAUCCUACCAGGGAAAGCGUCAUCAAUGGAGCCAGUGCUAGAAAUGGGAAGCCCCAGCUGAGAAAAUAAACUGAAACAUUUCGCUUGGAGUAUUGGGUAUUUUAGUCACUUUCUUGAGUAUCUCAAUAUAUACCCUUAGUGCUGAUCAACCUGGGUUACGCAAUUUUUCAUUGUUUCUGUAUUGGUGUGAGAUAACUAGAGAGAAGUAAGCUUGAGGGUUCUGGGUUUUGAGUUCAAGAACUGAAGAUUGUACUCGUGAGGCUUAUGUGUGAUUCCAAGGAGUGUAAUUCAUAUUUCAGAUUAGUGAAUUGGACUAAGGCAUUGCUGCCUUGUCUUGGAUGUAGGGUUAAUGUCAUUAAUUGAUUCCGAACCAAGUAUAUGGUGUUUACAGUCA